rnacentral:rRNA from 1 species
CGAUUAGCUAGUUGGUGGGGUAAAGGCCUACCAAGGCGACGAUCGGUAGCCGGACUGAGAGGUUGAACGGCCACAUUGGGACUGAGACACGGCCCAGACUCCUACGGGAGGCAGCAGUGGGGGAUAUUGCACAAUGGGGGAAACCCUGAUGCAGCAACGCCGCGUGAGGGAAGAAGGUUUUCGGAUUGUAAACCUCUGUCCUUAGUGAAGAUAAUGACGGUAGCUAAGGAGGAAGCUCCGGCUAACUACGUGCCAGCAGCCGCGGUAAUACGUAGGGAGCGAGCGUUGUCCGGAUUUACUGGGUGUAAAGGGUGCGUAGGCGGCAAUGCAAGUCAGAUGUGAAAUACAUGGGCUUAACCGAUGAACUGCAUUUGAAACUGUGUUGCUUGAGUGAAGUAGAGGCAGGCGGAAUUCCCUGUGUAGCGGCGAAAUGCGUAGAGAUAGGGAGGAACACCAGUGGCGAAGGCGGCCUGCUGGGCUUUAACUGACGCUGAAGCACGAAAGCAUGGGUAGCAAACAGGAUUAGAUACCCUGGUAGUCCACACCGUAAACGAUGAUUACUAGGUGUGGGGGGACUGACCCCUUCCGUGCCGGAGUUAACACAAUAAGUAAUCCACCUGGGGAGUACGGCCGCAACGUUGAAACUCAAAGGAAUUGACG